rnacentral:rRNA from 1 species
UGGAAUAUUGGGCGUAAGCGCGCGCUAGGCGGCCCGGUAAGUCCGCUGUGAAAGUCAAAGGCUCAACCUUUGAAUGUCAGCGGAUACUGCCGGGCUAGAGUCCGGAAGAGGCGAGUGGAACUCCUGGUGUAGCGGUGGAAUGCGCAGAUAUCAGGAAGAACACCCGUAGCGAAGGCGGCACUCUGGGCCGAUACUGACACUGAGGAGCGAAAGCGUGGGGAGCGAACAGGAUUAGAUACCCUGGUAGUCCACGCCGUAAACGUUGGGCACUAGGUGUGGGGUUCUAUCGACGGAUUCCGUGCCGUAGCUAACGCAUUAAGUGCCCCGCCUGGGGAGUACGGCCGCAAGGCUAAAACUCAAAGGAAUUGACGGGGGCCCGCACAAGCGGCGGAGCAUGUGGCUUAAUUCGGUGCAACGCGAAGAACCUUACCUGGGUUUGACAUUUGGGGAAAAGCCGUANAGAUACGGUGUCCUUCGGGGCCCCAAACAGGUGGUGCAUGGCUGUC